GACGAACGCUGGCGGCGUGCCUAAUACAUGCAAGUAGAACGCUGAAGGAGGAGCUUGCUUCUCCGGAUGAGUUGCGAACGGGUGAGUAACGCGUAGGUAACCUGCCUGGUAGCGGGGGAUAACUAUUGGAAACGAUAGCUAAUACCGCAUAAGAGUAGAUGUCGCAUGACAUUUGCUUAAAAGGUGCAACUGCACCACUACCAGAUGGACCUGCGUUGUAUUAGCUAGUUGGUGAGGUAACGGCUCACCAAGGCAACGAUACAUAGCCGACCUGAGAGGGUGAUCGGCCACACUGGGACUGAGACACGGCCCAGACUCCUACGGGAGGCAGCAGUAGGGAAUCUUCGGCAAUGGACGGAAGUCUGACCGAGCAACGCCGCGUGAGUGAAGAAGGUUUUCGGAUCGUAAAGCUCGGUUGUAAGAGAAGAACGAGUGUGAGAGUGGAAAGUUCACACUGUGACGGUAUCUUACCAGAAAGGGACGGCUAACUACGUG
rnacentral:rRNA from 1 species